GCCGUCAUAGUAUAGUGGUUAGUACAUCACGUUGUGGUUCUUUCAGUAGUGUCCCGUGAAAACCUCAGUUCGAUUCUGGGUGACGGCA
rnacentral:tRNA from 2 species